GCUCUGGUGGCCUAGUGGUUAAAGCGGCCGCCUCGGAUACGGGAGGUUGUGGGUUCGAUCCCCAGUAGAGUCA